AUUGAACGCUGGCGGCAGGCCUAACACCUGCAAGUCGAGCGAGCGGCGGACGGGUGAGUACUGUAUGGGGACUGCCCGAUAGAGGGGGAUAACUACUGGAAACGGUAGCUAAUACCGCAUACUAGCGGAUAACCCAUAUGGGAUUAGCUGGUCGGUAAGGUAAUGGCUACACUAGGCGACGAUCCCUAGCGGGUCUGAGAGGAUGAUCAGCCACACUGGGACUGGGACACGGCCCAGACGCCUACGGAGGCAGCAGUGGGGAAUAUUGCACAAGGGGCGCAAGCCUGAUGCAGCCAUGCCGCGUGUAUGAAGAAGGCCCUAGGGUUGUAAAGUACUUUCAGUCGGGAGGCGUUACCGACAGAAGAAGCACCGGCUAACUCCGUGCCAGCAGCCGCGGUAAUAC
rnacentral:rRNA from 1 species